AUGCAGUCUCCGGUUCACAGAGUAACAUUGUUGCUUGCUAGCUUCUAUGGGAAAUGUAGGCAUUGACAAUGUUGUGUUAGGUAUAGGCCCGUCGUCCGUCACCAAUCAACCCGGUCCUCUCGCUUGCAUUGGUUGGCUGCUGUAUUAUGGGGACGUCGUCAGCGUCUGGAGAGGGUCUUCAGGGGACACGUAGGUGUCGGGGUCCUCCUCUCCAGGAGUUUUGGGUUUACACUUCCCACAGCAGCAGUUGAAACAGCAGCACAGGCAGCAGCAGAAGUAGCAGCCUGUUAGCACGCCGCAGACCGCAAACAGACCCUGUGUGGAGGAUGGACAUAGACCGUUCACUAUUAACACAUGAACAUAGACUUUCCUUUUUCACACACACAUAAACACACACACUCAUGCACAUGCACACGCACACACACACAAACCCACCUUUGCCCACCAACUGGAGAGCAUGAAAUAAGCAUUGACGUUCUCCUCUCCAAACUGCUGUGCCACGUACAGACCGAGAGAGCCAUAGCUGUCGUAGAUGUUCCUCUUGGAGGCAUCUGACAGCACGGAGUGGGCAUUGUUGAGCUCCUUGAAUUUAUCUGUGGCGUUCGGGUUCUCUGGGUUCUUGUCUGGAUGAUAUUUCAAAGCAAGUUUUCUAAAUAGUAAAAAAUAUUACGAAAUUGAAAAGAUGAUGCAAUCUGAAAGGCUUAGCUAACAGAAAUGUUGUUUUCAUUGUUACUGUCUUGUUAUUUUAUGGUCUUAUCUAAUGCGUUCAGUAAGAGGCAGCAGUAUUAUCUCCCAUUAGGUGGGGUUAGAAGCCUGCUCCCUCACACCCAUCAACACACACAUCUGCCAGGCAUUGGUAUAUUAGUUCAAUUAGCCCCCAAAAGUUGUAAUAGCAUGUAUAGUACAAUUACAGAUCUUAAGUCAGGCUCGAGAAUAUGUAACCUAUGGUAUAUAACUGAAACACUGAGCUAAAUGCUGGUGCCCAGUACUAUACAUGGUGUACCAGUUUGCCAUUUUGGCUUCAACUGCAGUUGUUUGUUUUUUGGCAUUAGGUCCAUUGGAAACCUUGGUUGACAGACACCAUGAAAUAAAUAUAACUACAGUCACUUUUACAUAAUUUUUUUUUCUCAUUGUCUUUUUAUGCUGUAAAUUAUAAUUUCUCAUCAACAUUUCAUGAAGCACGUCUGCUUGUUUAUUUUUAAUGAAGCCAAGAGGCUCUGAAAAUGCUGCUAUGAUUACAUAUUCAUUAACCACAAACAAGGGCUGUUCAAACGCUAACCAUUUGGAUGGUUCCUGAAAGUGAAUUCCAAUUAGAGCAAUUAAUUAAGAACUACUAAUUGUGAUGGCAUCUGUAUGACUCGAAGUCUGAAGUGAAUUUAUAUUAUAAGUCAUUAGAUUCUGACUUACUACAUGUUGGAAUGCCUUACUACAUAAUGGAAAUGUAUUGGUGAAAUGAGAGAGAAGUCAAUGUAUGAACGAGGGCUUGACAGACAUACUUUGACUGAAAUGUAGGUUAUAGGAUAAAAUAGUUAUCUUAAACAAAAUCUACAUUCAAAUGUAGAAUUACAUUACUAAAUAUAAUUGAUAAUGGCUUGGGUUAAGACAACUGAUUUGGAUUAGGUCUAAGCAUCAAAGGUUCCUUUCAUACUAACAUUAUUACACAAUAACCAUAUUAAAGUUGAGUACUGAGACCAGUGAGUUUUAUCAGCAGCUCUCCAUAUUAUAGGAAGUCUGUCCUGCUAUUUUAUUAUAAGGUUGAGGUACUACUUGUUGAGUGGGUACAUAUCAAUUUGUCUGCUGCAAUAAUGCUAGGGUCAUACAAUUCCCAACAGGUUGUGACAAGCUUCCAAGUACACCCACGCUUGUGUGUGGGACACGUGCACACACACACACACACUUGAUAUGAACCGAGUACAACGAGGGGUACCAUCUGUUCUGUAGUAUUAAUAUUUUAGUUUUAUGGAAGUCAUAUUGUAUUCAUGCAGCUGUCUGACAAUCACUUGCUGUGAUUCUAAAAGGUCUUGUAGCAGUCAGUCACUCUGUCUCACAAAGUUAUUAUUUUUCUACAUCUGUGCCACAUUUCUCCUGAAAAACAUCCCAUUAAAAUGAUUCCCUCUGACCUCCAUAGACA